rnacentral:rRNA from 1 species
CGGUUGAUCCUGCCGGACCCCACUGCUAUCGGGAUGAGACUAAGCCAUGCUAGUCGUGCGUCUCUCAAGCUGUUGGAGGCGCGGCGAACGGCUCAGUAACACGUAAUCAACCUACCCUUGGGACGAUUAUAACCCCGGGAAACUGGGGUUAAUAAUCGAUAAAUGAUAGAUCCUGGAAUGGUCUAUCAUUGAAAGACAUCCUAAAACAUGCUUUAGAUGUCGCCCAAGGAUGGGAUUGCGUCCGAUCAGGUUGUUGGUGGGGUAAAGGCCCACCAAGCCCUAUAACCGGUACGGGCCCUGAGAGGGGGAGCCCGGAGAUGGAAACUGAGACAAGGUUCCAGGCCCUACGGGGCGCAUCAGGCGCGAAAUCUCGACAAUGCGCGAAAGCGCGAUCGGGUUAUCCCGAGUGCCUUCCUAUGAGGAAGGCUUUUCAUUGGCUUUAGGAGCCAUGGGAAUAAAGGGGGGGCAAGACUGGUGUCAGCCGCCGCGGUAAUACCAGCCCCCUGAGUGGUAAGGAUGAUUAUUUGGCUUAAAGCGUCCGUAGCCGGCGUAGCAAGUCUCUUGUGAAAUCCUACGAUUCAAUCGUAGGCACGCAAGAGAUACUGCUACGCUAGAAGACGGGAGAGGUCGACGGUAUUCCAAGGGUAGGGGUGAAAUCCUAUAAUCCUUGGAAGACCACCAGUGGCGAAGGCGGUCGACCAGAACGUGCUUGACGGUGAUGGACGAAAGCUGGGGGAGCGAACCGGAUUAGAUACCCGGGUAGUCCCAGCUGUAAACGAUGCGGGCUAGGUGUUGAAAUAGCUACGAGCUAUUUCAGUGCCGCAGAGAAAUCGUUAAGCCCGCCGCCUGGGAAGUACGGCCGCAAGGCUGAAACUUAAAGGAAUUGGCGGGGGAGCAC